rnacentral:rRNA from 1 species
CCAGACUCCUACGGGAGGCAGCAGUGGGGAAUAUUGCACAAUGGGGGAAACCCUGAUGCAGCGACGCCGCGUGAGUGAAGAAGUAUCUCGGUACGUAAAGCUCUAUCAGCAGGGAAGAAAAUGACGGUACCUGAUUAAGAAGCCCCGGCUAACUACGUGCCAGCAGCCGCGGUAAUACGUAGGGGGCAAGCGUUAUCCGGAUUUACUGGGUGUAAAGGGAGCGUAGACGGCAGCGCAAGUCUGGAGUGAAAGGCCGGGCCCAACCCCGGAACUGCUUUGGAAACUGUGCAGCUCGAGUGCAGGAGAGGUAAGCGGAAUUCCUAGUGUAGCGGUGGAAUGCGUAGAUAUUAGGAGGAACACCAGUGGCGAAGGCGGCUUACUGGACUGUAACUGACGUUGAGGCUCGAAAGCGUGGGGAGCAAACAGGAUUAGAUACCCCCGUACAA